AAUUCCAGUUUUGGGCAAGAAACGUGUACGAGGACCGACCCGAGGAAAGAAUGUUGAGAAGAUUAGAAAGGAACGUGGUGAUCGAAUACCCGUUACACUUAACCGUUUGACCAAAGCAAUAGAAGGGGAAUACGCCACACCGCUAGCAGCUGCUCUUGGUCAACAAAUUCGAGUUCAUGCCCCAGUUCGAAAUGAUGGAUGGCUAGAAAUUGCCUUUGGGUUAAGAGAGUCCAUUGUUACAAGAGUUGGGCAAACUUUUGACUUUGGGGACUACAAUAAUGAUGUGGAUGUGAGAUGUAUUAUUGAUCAUAAGUGCCAAACUUUGUACAGUGAAUGGAAAAGUAGAUUACACACACACUACAAAUCCCUUAAA